rnacentral:tRNA from 1 species
GCAAGGGUAGUCAAGCCUGGCCAACGACGCUAGCUUGAGGGGCUAGUCCUUAGUGGUCCGUGGGUUCAAAUCCCAUCCCUUGCA